AUCCCAUUUUUCUUCUUCAGUCACAAAAUUUACUCAUAAAUAUAUUUCAAACAGUAUUCGCUAAUUCAGAUCUAUCAAGACUUCGAUCGAUUCCGAGCAACAGCAACAUUAAUUCCAACCAGAAAUACCGAAAGCCAAGAAAUGUCAUUGUGCAUGUCGACAUUAAAUGCUGCUCCAUUAAUAUCUACAAGCCCAAGUCUCACUACAUCAUCUUCUAUAGUUAAUUCAACUUCUCAUGCAGCAAUCUCAAAAACAAAGUAUCUUGCCUCAUGCAGCGUUCAUGGCUUAAAUAGCAGAAACUUUCAGUAUCACCCCAGGUUGAUGAUUGCACGACGAAAGUUUGUUGUAUACAGCAAUAUUACUCCACUUCCCGGAGUUCCUCUUCCUUCAGGAUCACCUUCGGGUUCUAUGGAAAGUUGGGUUAUGUGUAUCGUGUUGACAUUCGUCUUACCUUUUAUCACGCAUAAAUGGGGGCCAUUGAUUGCACUAAAAAAUAGAGUGGACACAGCGGUAGACAUGGCGGAGCAUAUAGCGGAAGUUAUGGAAGAUGUGGCUGGAAAAGUUGAUAAGGUGAUCGAUAGCAUUACUGAUGAUCUUCCUGAAGAUAGUAAACUCAGAAAAAGGUUGGAAGCCAUUGAUGAGCUGAUCGAAGGAGUAGCAAUGAGUGCUCAUAUCGCCAAUGAUAUCAUCGACAAGGUUUGAAUAUACUGAUCUUUUUCAAGCACGUACACAUAUGACUUGAAGGGGCCAAAGUUGGGUGGAAGAAGCUGAAGAUAAACUAGAGUCCUUGAUUCUUUCCCAUGCAAACGAGGAAAAGGUUUCCAUGCAAGUUGUGGAAAAGGAUGAAGUUUCUUCCCAUAAAGAUUGAAUAGUUAUUGAUAUUCGAGAAAAAGAUAACGAUGGUCAACGUAUUAAAGUUUGACCUAUGAUUAGGAGAAGCUUUAAGAUCAAUUUGUUCAUUUAUUUGUAAUAUAUAUUCUUACUGUUAGCAUACUAUUUGCUUUGAACUAGUCCAUUCUAAUAUUUCAUCAAAUACGGAUUGUAUAUAUCCUUUUGAAAUAGUAUAGUCACGAUGACACCUAAAAUAUAUAUGAAAUCGAAAC